AUGCUGUGAUGGCUUAUGGUAGAAGCGCAUCGACUAUGCUCGCUUAGGUUGGUUGACAUGAGUGUCCGGUUCGAUUCCCGCGGUCGGAAAAAAGUAAUUCGAGUAAUCAAUUAACUUUCUUCCGGCAAUGAGUGGCACAAUCACUGGAGGGAAGCAAUUCAGCACAGUAGGCUACCCGUAGGAAGGCGAAGCGGAUGGCACUCUGUCCUGUCUAACCAUGGUUUGAGCUUGAUGUUGCAACUCCGACUAUUCUUUU
rnacentral:SRP_RNA from 1 species